rnacentral:rRNA from 1 species
UCCUACGGGAGGCAGCAGUGGGGAAUUUUCCGCAAUGGGCGAAAGCCUGACGGAGCAAUACCGCGUGAGGGAAGACUGCCUAUGGGUUGUAAACCUCUUUUUUCAGGGAGGAAUCAAUGACGUGUACCUGAAGAAUAAGCAUCGGCUAACUCCGUGCCAGCAGCCGCGGUAAGACGGAGGAUGCAAGUGUUAUCCGGAAUCACUGGGCGUAAAGCGUCUGUAGGUGGUUUAAUAAGUCAACUGUUAAAUCUUGAGGCUCAACUUCAAAAUCGCAGUCGAAACUAUUAGACUAGAGUAUAGUAGGGGUAAAGGGAAUUUCCAGUGGAGCGGUGAAAUGCGUAGAGAUUGGAAAGAACACCGAUGGCGAAGGCACUUUACUGGGCUAUUACUGACACUCGGAGACGAAAGCUAGGGUAGCAAAUGGGAUUAGAUACCCCAGUAGUCCUAGCUGUAAACAAUGGAUACUAGAUGUUGAACAGAUCGACCUGUGCAGUAUCAAAGCUAACGCGUUAAGUAUCCCGCCUGGGAAGUAUGCUCGCAAGAGUGAAACUCA